GGGGAAUAUUGCACAAUGGGCGAAAGCCUGAUGCAGCAACGCCGCGUGAGUGAUGACGGUCUUCGGGUUGUAAAGCUCUGUGAUCGGGGACGAAUGGCUGGUAUGCUAAUACCAUAUCAGAGUGACGGUACCCGAAUAGCAAGCCACGGCUAACUACGUGCCAGCAGCCGCGGUAAUACGUAGGUGGCAAGCGUUGUCCGGAAUUAUUGGGCGUAAAGCGCGCGCAGGCGGCUUCUUAAGUCCAUCUUAAAAGUGCGGGGCUUAACCCCGUGAUGGGAUGGAAACUGGGAGGCUAGAGUAUCGGAGAGGAAAGUGGAAUUCCUAGUGUAGCGGUGAAAUGCGUAGAGAUUAGGAAGAACAUCAGUGGCGAAGGCGGCUUUCUGGACUGUAACUGACGCUGAGGCAUGAAAGCGUGGGGAGCAAAC
rnacentral:rRNA from 1 species